GACGAACGCUGGCGGUGUGCUUAACACAUGCAAGUCGAACGGUAAGGCCCUUUCGGGGGUACACGAGUGGCGAACGGGUGAGUAACACGUGAGUAACCUGCCCUCAUCUCUGGGAUAAUAGUCGGAAACGGUUGCUAAUACUGGAUAUGAGCUUGCAAGGCAUCUUGUGGGUUGGAAAGAUUUUUUUGGUUGGGGAUGGACUCGCGGCCUAUCAGCUUGUUGGUGAGGUAGUGGCUCACCAAGGCUUCGACGGGUAGCCGGCCUGAGAGGGCGACCGGCCACAUUGGGACUGAGAUACGGCCCAACUCCUACGGGAGGCAGCAGUGGGGAAUAUUGCACAAUGGACGGAAGUCUGAUGCAGCAACGCCGCGUGCGGGAUGACGGCCUUCGGGUUGUAAACCGCUUUCAAUUGUGACGAAGCUUUUUGUGACGGUAGCAGUAGAAGAAGCACCGGCUAACUACGUG
rnacentral:rRNA from 1 species